AUGGCAACUCUAAGCUGCAUGCAUGUUCAUUGGGAGAAUCAUGAUGAAUCUUUGAUGAACACUGUCAAAGAUGAAAAGGCGAAUUCUUCGAUUCCCCGGGCUGUCAGGGAUUUUGUACUUCCAGCAGGUUUUCUAGUUUCUUGUAGGUUCCUGCAUAAGAGGUCAUUAUUGCAGAGUUGGAGACUGACACUAUGUUUAUCAGUACAUGCUAUUGGAAUUCCCAACAAACUUGACAGGAUGGAUCAGUCACACGUUGGUUACAUCAAGUCUUCUAAAGGUAUCCCGUAA
rnacentral:rRNA from 1 species